UCUUCACUCAAGAUAGGCAUUCAGAUUCUGCAACAUGGUUAAUUAUGCUCUAAGGAAAUGAGCUUUCUUGCUAACAGAGGCACGAAUGCCAAUUGAACAAACAGCCACCCAAACGAAAGGCAUAAAUCCAUGUAGGAAGUCGAUCUUUACACAAGAAAGACAUUCAGAUUCUGUACAUGGUUAAUUAUGCUCUAAGGAAAUGAGCCUGCUUGCUGACAGUAGCAAUAAUAAAUUCACUCAUAAAAGUUGCUGUUAUUCCUUUCUCUCCGCGGAGAGUAAAUCGCAGAAGAGGGAGACGUGUAUAGAGGGAAAAGAGAAGUGCUUUUUGUUUUGUUUCUUUCACAUAAAAGUUGCCUCUUUCUUUCACAUUCGUCCUUUUUUUUUCUUUGGUACCAUAUUCCCAUCUUCGUUUUGGUAACUAACGCAAAGAAUCUUGCUUUACAGAAAGCAAACAGGAAGACCUACGCGGUAUAUUUAUAUCCAUUGUCUAUAUAAACUAGGUAGAAGAAAAGCAAUGGCACACAACCACAUCCUGCAUUUCUUUAAUUCCUAUACACUUUCCUUUUUCCAACUAUUCUCUUUUUCCUCUGUCAACCAAUUUCUAAGUUCCUUACCCUAAAAAUGGCCGAUGCCCUUAUCUCCACACUACUAGAAAAGUUAGCCUCAAUGGCUUAUGAAUACGUAGCCGAAGAGGUGAAACUUGUUUUGAACGUUGAGAAAGAAGUUAAAGAAUUUGCUCGCAAUCUAAAAGCAAUUCGGGCUGUGCUUGAGGAUGCAGAGCAAAGGCAAGUGAAAGAGGCCAACGUGAGAGACUGGUUGGAUAAUCUCAAGGAAAUAUCCUUCGACAUGGUAGAUGUGCUGGAUGACUGGAAGAGUGAGAUUUUGAGGCAACAAGUGGAGAAGCAAGAAAGGGAAGGCACAAGUGUUGUUGUUCCUAAGAAAAAGGUAUGUUUCCCUAUUGUCCCCUGUUGCUUUUGUUGUGGUCAUGUUGGGCGGGUAAUUCCUCGUCAUAAAAUCGCUCAAGAGAUUAAGGAUCUGAAUGAGAGGUUAACUACGAUCUAUAAGCAAAGAAAAAUCUAUAAUUUUCAACUUAUAGAUAAGGGCAUUCAAAAACCUCAAACCUCGUCUUUUGUCGAUGUAUCUGGGAUAUUUGGCCGAGAAACAGAAAAGGAUAGUUUGGUAAGGAAGUUAGUGAGUGACGAAGAAGGGAGGGGGCUCCUCAUCAUUCCUAUUGUAGGGAUGGGAGGAAUGGGGAAGACAACUUUAGCCCAACUAGCCUAUAAUGAUGCCAACGUCGAUGCCCAUUUUCAGAAAAAAAAAUGGAUUUGUGUGUCAGACCCUUUUGACGUCAUGAAGAUUGCAAAAGCCAUUAGCGAUGAGUUCACAAGUUCAAAUGAGUUGGAUGAUGUCUUACAAUGUAUGUCUAGAUCUAUUAAGGGAAAAAAGCUUCUCCUAGUAUUGGAUGAUGUGUGGAAUGAAGAUAGUAGCCAGUGGAACCAAUUAAAGGUACCACUGAUGCAAAAUAGUGUUGAAGGUAGUAGAAUAUUGGUCACCACAAGAAAAGAAAAGGUUGCUAGUAUGAUGAGAUCAACCACCUUCACGAUAAAUCUUGGAGGGUUGAGCGAACAACAUUGUUUGUCAAUCUUCAAUCACAUGGCAUUUUCUAAUAGGGAAGCAGAUGAGUAUGGGGUGUUUGGAGAUAUUAGUAGGGAAAUUGUAAAGAAGUGUAAGGGCUUGCCUCUUGUUGCAAAGACUUUGGGUAGUCUCAUGCGUGACAAGAGAACAAUGAAGGAAUGGAAAGAUGUUUUGAAUAGUAAGAUAUGGGAUUGGAAAGAAGGGGAGGAAGAAGUUUUCCAACCACUGCUUCUAAGUUAUUAUGAUUUGAUCCCUGUAGAUAGAUGUUGCCUUUUAUAUUGUGGAAUUUUCCCCAAAGAUUACGAGUUAGAGAGGGAUAUAUUGAUAAAUCUUUGGAUGGCACAAGAUUAUCUUGAUUCGGAAGAGAAUAAAGAUAAGGGUAUAAUUGGCAACAUUGUUUUUGAUAACUUAGUUGCACGGUCGUUUUUCCAAGAUUUUAAGAAAGAUGUUAGUGGUAAGAUUAUAGGUUGUAAAAUGCAUGAUAUUGUACAUGACUUUGUGCACUUUCUCACCAAGAAGGAAUGUUUGAUUACGGAGGCUAAUCAAGGUGCUAAUAGUGAGAUAGAGGUAUUGGUCAACAAGGUUCGCCAUUUAACCUUAACAUAUGUUCUCGACAGUUCAAAUUCACUUCCUACCUCAUGUUACAAUUGCAAAAAACUACGUACCCUCGCAGUUUUUUGCCCAAGACCAUCACGCAUAGACACAAGUUUAGUUUUGCGAUUGAAAUGUCUUAGGACAUUAAAUUUGAUUGAUAAUUCCAUUGAAGAACUUCCAGAGGAGAUUAGUCAAUUGGUACAUUUGAGGCAUCUUGAUUUGUCUGGCAAUUCUGGUUUGGAGAAAUUACCAGACUCUAUUUGUAGUUUAUACAAUUUGUAUACCUUGGCCAUUUGUUAUUGCUAUUCACUUUCAAAAUUGCCUCGUAACAUGAGCAAGUUGAUUAAUUUAAGGCAUCUUUAUGUGAUGGAAUCUGGUCUGGAGUACUUGCCAAUUGGGAUAGGGAGAUUAACAAGUUUGCAAACAUUAGAUGAGUGUCGUGUGUUUUUUGGUCGCAAUGACGAAGCAUUCAAAUUUGGGGAUCUGAGAACCUUGAACAACCUUCGGGGCAGUCUCAACAUAACAUUUAGGGGGGAUUUGAAUGAUGUAAGCGAGGUUGUGGAACUACCAUUGGUUGACAACAAACAAAUUUUUAAUCUCCAAAUUGAUUGGGAGUUUGAACCCCCUAUGACUCCAGAGAGUAGUCUUCAAAUACUGAAUGCCUUACAACCGCAAGAAGAUUUGGAAUCUUUAGUCAUUAAAGGGAUUGUGGCUCCCACCUGGCCGAAAUGGUUGACGUGUUUAAACAGGUUGAGAUUCCUUACUCUUAGUGAUUGUGGAAAUUGGGAAACUUUGCCUCCUCUUGGUAAAUUGCCCUUCCUUGAAAGACUGAAUCUAUCGUUUAUGGGGCGUAUAGAAAAGGUUGGUGGUGAAUUUUUGGGACUAGAAGAUGACCAAGCAGCAUUCAAAUCAUCCUCCGCAGUAUUCCCAAAACUGAAAGACCUUGGCUUUUGUGGGUUGCCGAAUUGGAAAGAGUGGGAAGGCGUGAACGGGUGGGCGAAAGAGGAUUCUAAAUUUCCUACAAUCAUGCCUUGUCUUUCUUCCUUGACUAUUGGGUACUGUUCAACGCUAGAAACACUGCCAGAUUUCCUCAGCAAAAUACCACUUCAGAAUCUUACCAUCCAGAAUUGUCGGAAACUUACCGAUCGUUGCACAGAAGCGAGUGGAGAGGAGUGGCCUAAGAUUUCUCACAUCCAAAAAAUCAUCCGCCUCUAAAUCUUCAACUAUUAAUUACUAAUGGUGGCUCGCAAAGACAUAUUCUGUGUGUAAUCCUAUUUGAAAAGUAAAAAUAUUUGUUCAUAUCGUUUCAGGGAAUCUCGUGAUGAAGCUAAAAGGGUGAUCAUGUAGAGACCACUGAAGUAUGCCUCCCGAGGUCUCGGGCUGUUGCACUGUAUGAAUUUUAUUAUUUGGAUUCCAUCGAUUUCAGGGUUUCAAUGUGAAUGAAUUCACAAUAAUGUCUUUUUUUAUUAUAGUUAUGCUGGGGUGGAAGUGACAUUGUUGUUUUAAUUUAAAAAAGAGUUUCAGUGUGGAUUUGUUACAUCUUGUAUAUAUUGGUUGUUUGAGGUUUGUUUGUUAUGAUUGCUGUCAUGAUCAAUAUCGGACUUUAUGUCCCCUUUGAUAGAUUGUACUUCCCUUUUUUAUUAUAAAUAAAUCUACUAUUGAGAAUUUUAAUGUGAA